GAAGGGUAAACUCGCACCUGUUCUACCCAGAAGAGUGGCUCAAGUUCACAUUCAGAAUUUAUUUGUUGAAAGAGUAUCUCCACUUUAUCACAAUCGAGCACUUCCAAUUCUUUCAGAAGUGGCCAACUUGAACUAAACUUUCUAGAGCAAAAUCUUUUGAGUUGGUGUAAACCGGAGAGUGUGAGAGAGGUAAGGUUAGGGAAUAAAAGUAAAAGUGCUGCUUCAUCUUCAUUUUCAUUGUGAACAAUUGCCUCCACUCCACUAUAAAAUAUAUUUAGGUUCUCAAGUUGCACAAGAGCACUCGCCACAGAAACCGGAAAAAGGUUUAGCAAUUUGUUGCAUCCCCUUACUUGCAAUUUCCUUAAUUUGGAAAAUGAAUUUGCUGGAAGUUGGUCAGGCCACAAUGCUCUUAUAUUAUCUAGUCCGCAUACAGACACGGACUCCAAGCCUGGGAGUGCAACCUGUGCAAUUGAUGAUCCCUUUAGUUAAUAAUAUAUACAUAUACAUUCCUAAUAAUUAGACACAUGUAAAUAGAAAAUAAGAGGUUAAAGGAGAAUAUAUCAGUAUAACAAAGCACAAAAUUUAAACUAGAUUGAAGAAGAUCAAGAAAGAGAAAAGAAAAGAAAAAGCCUCCAGAUUUUGAAGAUACAAUGAAACUUAAAAAAAAAAAAAAAAAACCUCCAAAUUUUCCUUUUGAAAUGAGGUAAUAAGAGGAUUUUUCUUUGCCUCUCUUUCAAAUUUGAUUAACUUCUAUGGAAAACGUAUUUUAACUAGUUAUGGAAAACGGAUUUUUUUUUUUUAAACUUUUAUAUAAGAUACAAGUAAUACUUUAAAAAAAUUGUGAUAUCUAAAAAAUUUUUUGAAAAAUUAUUUUUAAAGAAAUAAGGUAAAUCUAUACUUUUUGUAUAAGAUGUUCUACCUUUAUAUACAAAUUUCUGAUUUUUUUUUUUUAAAGUGUAUCCAAAUGGACACUAAACUAUCUAGUUUUUAAUUGUUACAACUUUGAAUUGGAUUUUAUGGUAAACUAAUUUACAAGUUAAUGCAUGGAUUCAUCUUAGAUUCCAUCUAUAAAUUUUUUUAAUUAUCUAAUAUAAGACAUUAUAUUAAUGGGUUGAAUUAAUAAUGUAAUUAUAAUUUAUUUGGCAACUUUCUUCCUUCAAAUAUAUAAAAUGAAAAUAAAUUUUAAAAAAUAAAAAAAUGAAAAAAAUAAAAAAUAAAAAAAGAUUUUUUUUUAUAGGUUUUCUAAGAUGAUUUUGUUGAGUACUGUUAGUUUAUUGUUUUAACUUUAUUUCAUUUUACUUUUAACUUUAUUUAUUGAGGUAUGUUCUUUUUUGAAACUCUUGUUUAGAUUUUAUAGAGAAUAUAAAUUUUAAGAAAACAAAUGAAAUUUAAAUAAAAUAAGAAUAAAGAAAGGCAAAAGGUGGAUGAAUUUUUUUAAGGCAAAAGUUUGAUAAUUUGGCACUAUCAUGUAAUGGGUGAAAUUUUUAAAUACUCAACAAAGGCUAGUGAAAUUUAAAUUAAAAGCUUGACAUGUACCUUUUCGACCAAAAUCUUUGGAGUUGGUGUAAAGUUUUGAGUAUGAGAGAGGUUAGUCUAGGGAAUAUUAUUGCACAUUAGUUCAAAUAAAACAUCAACAUCUUUUUUUGUUAAAUUCUAAAUGAACACCACUAUAAAUUAAUGCGAUUUUGUAUGCUCAAUUAAAUAAACUCGUUCUUAAGGCAUCACAUGAAGUGUUUAAGUCUAAUUAAUAUUAAUUAAAAAUGAUUAUAUUAAAAAAAAUCCAAAGUAAUUUUUUUUUAUCAUAAGUCAAGUAGGAUAGUUUUAUAAAUAAUUGGUUCUAGUUUCUAGUAUUAUUGUACACAAUCCCUAUGUUUGUUGCACCUCCAAAAAAUCUACUACUUGUAAUUAAUUGUAUAUUAUUCUCCAUAUUCACAUCAGUUUAUGUAGUAUGAUUAAUUUAGUAACAAAAUAUAAAUUUACUUGAAAUCGCUUUAAAUUCCUAUGAUAUUAAAGUUUAAGAUUAAAACAAUGUAACAUUAGCCAAAAAGAUUAAGAUCUAUAAUGUAACAUAUAAAAUUUAGAAAAUUCAAGGAAGGGUAAACUCGCACCUGUUCUACCCAGAAGAGUGGCUCAAGUUCACAUUCAUAAUUUAUUUGUUGAAAGAGUAUCUCCACUUUAUCACAAUAGAGCACUUCCAAUUCUUUCAAAAGUGGCCAGCUUGAACUAAACCUUCUAGAGCAAAAUCUUUUGAGUUGGUGUAAACCGGCGAGUUCGAGAGAGGUAAGGUUAGGGAAUAAGAGUAAAGGUGCUGCUUCAUCUUCAUUUUCAUUGUGAACAACUGCCUCCACUCCACUCUGCAAUAGAUUUAGGUCCUCAAGUUGCACAGGAGCACUCGCCACAGAAACCGGAAAAAGGUUUAGCAAUUUUUUGCAUCCCUUUACUUGCAAUUUCCUUAAUUUGGAAAAUGAAUUUGCUAGAAGUUGGUCAGGCCACAAUGCUCUUAUAUUAUCUAUGAUAACCACAACAUUCAAACCACCGAGAUUUCCUUGGCUUCUCACUUAUCUUUUCCACCAGAUAAGUGUUUAUCCACUUUAAGAGAUAACUCUUGACUAUUUUUAAAUUUCUGUUAUUGUGUAUUUCAAAUCUCCUUCUGUAAUUGUAUAUAAAUGAGAAUAGCCACCCGGUUUUUGGCAUUGAAGCCAAUACCAUUUUACAGAUUUCUACAGAGUCUUACAUGGUAUCAGAGCAAUUGGCAUACGCCUAAUUUCAAUCGAUCCUUUCCUUCUCAACUAUGGCCUUCUCUUCUUCCGCUUCCUCCAAUGUUAUCUUUGCUCCUCCAAACAUUGGUCAUCUGGUGUCGAUCAAGCUGAGUGACACAAACUAUCUUAUAUGGUCAUCUCAGAUUGUGCCAGUACUGAAAAGUCAUGACUUGAUGGGCUUCAUGGAUGGUUCUGAGCCGUGUCCAUCAAAAUCUCUUGAUGGUUCUCUUAAUCCAGCAUAUAUUCUCUGGAAUAAGAAAGAUCAGUGUGUGUUAAGUUGGAUCAAUGCCACUUUGUCUGACAAGGUGCUAGCUUCUGUUUAUGGCAUCACAUCUGCUCGAGAGGUGUGGAGUUCUCUGGCAAACAAGUUUGCCUCUCAAUCCAGAACCCGUGUACACCACCUAAAGCGAAAGUUGCAGACUCUUCAUCAAGGGUCAAUGAAGUGCACUGAUUUUCUUGAAAAAGCGAAGUUGGUGUCUGAUGAAUUAGCUGCAGUUGGUAAGCCACUUGAGGAUGAUGACUUAAUGUCUUAUAUUGUGAGUGGACUCAACCCAUCCUUUAAUCCCUUUAUAACCUCUCUGUCCUUUGCCACUAGAGACAAAAAUGUUUCUUUUGAAGACUUUCAAGCCGAGCUCUUGUCAUAUGAACUGUUAUUGGAAAACUAGAAUAUUGCUAUACCACCUGAGACAAAUAAUUUUGCUUUCUUCACUCCCAAAUCUAACCAACAACAGUACAAUCGCAAACCCAAAAACCCAAGUAAACCAUAUUCACGUCCUUCAUUUUCACAAAAUCCUCGUCCUCGAUAUUCACCACAACCCUCUGGUUUACCUUCCUCACCUCAGCCAAAUCAGAAGCAGCACUCAUUUUCCACUCCUAAGUCACCUUGUCAAAUCUGUGGAAAGCUAAGUCAUAAGGCAUUAGAUUGCUUUCAUAGAAUGGAUUAUGCAUAUCAGGGUCGUCAUCCACCAACCCAGUUAGCUGCUAUGGUGGCACAUAGCAAUGCUGAGCAAGAGGAAGAGACAUGGUUUGCUGACAGUGGAGCUAAUCAGCACAUUACUGCCAAUCUGGAGCAUCUUACUCUGCAACAACCAUACACAGGACAAGAAAAUGUAGCUAUUGGUAAUGGCCAAGGUUUAAGUAUUGCACAUACUGGUACUACUAUUUUUCAUACUCCUGAAGCUAAAUUAAACCUCAAACGUGUCCUCCAUUGUCCUCAAGCUUCUGCCAAUUUGCUUUCCAUAAAUCAAUUCUGUCUUGAUAAUAAUUGCCUCUUUAUUCUAACUGGUACUCAUUAUUUUGUCAAGGACAUACAAACGGGGGCGACACUACUGGAAGGCAGGAGUGAAGGGGGUCUCUAUCCAAUCCAGUUGCGGUCAAUGUCUAUCAAUAAAUCACAUGCUUUGUCAGCCGUUGUAGGAAUUAAAGCAUCAGUUUCAGUUUGGCAUUCUAGAUUAGGACAUGCAUCUCUUCCCAUUGUGUCUCAGUUAUUAAAUAAACACUCCUUACCUGUUGAAGGAUCAGUGAAUAAAAUGCAUUUUUGUGAACCUUGCCAACUUGGCAAAGGUAAGCAACUUCCUUUCAAACCUUCUACUCGUGUUUCUUCCUUUCCUUUGCAAUUAAUUCAUACUGAUGUAUGGUCUUGUUCUACCAAAUCUCUCAGUGGAUGUAAGUAUUAUGUUAUAUUCAUUGAUGAUUUUUCACGAUUCUCAUGGCUUUAUCCUCUCCAAAAUAAAUCUGAUGUAUAUGCUUGCUUUGUUAAAUUCAAAACACUAGUUGAAAACCAAUUUUCUUGCAAAAUUAAGCAAUUACAAUCGGAUGGAGGUGGAGAAUACAUGUCCAACCAAUUUCAAUUGUUUCUUUCCUCUAAUGGAAUCCAACAUCGCCGCACUUGUCCUCAUACACCCCAACAAAAUGGGGUUGCUGAGCGUAAACACCGUCAUGUGGUGGAAAUGGGACUGUCUCUGUUAGCUCAGUCACUUUUGCCCACUAAAUUCUGGGUUGAUGCCUUUUUAACAUCCAUUUUUCUCAUCAAUAGACUACCAACAUCUACUCUUGAUAACCAAACACCAUAUCUUAAAUUAUUUGGCAAACAUCCUGAUUAUACCUCCUUGCGCACCUUUGGUUGUGCCUGUUUUCCAUUGUUACGGACCAUAUGCAACUCACAAAUUAAUGUUCAGAUCCAAACGUUGCAUAUUUCUAGGUUAUAGUUCCCAUCAAAAUGGAUAUAGAUGCUUGGAUCCUGUCACUCAAAAAGUUCUAAUCUCACGACAUGUUGUGUUUAAUGAGAAUACAUUUCCUGCUAAGGAUGGAUUGCAGUCUUCUGAACUUCUUCCAGUGGUCUCCUCUCAAGGUACGCCUUUACCUUCUCCUUCAUUUUCUUUAUCUACUUCUCAUUUACAGCAUUCCUCUCCAAUCAUUUCAGAUUCACCUGAUUCUCCUCUAGAAUCUUUACCUAUCCCCACUUCUCCUCAUAUCUCCACUCUACCUUCUCCCAUACCUAGUCCAGCUCCUACCCUUUCUAUACCUGAAUUUUCCUCUUCUUCCAAUCACUCUCAUCACCCCAUGACAACUCGCUCCCAAACAGGCAACCUCAAACCUCGCACAUUUUCAGAUUUUAAACUCUAUUCCACCCACUAUCCUCUCCAAGCAUUAUCCAGUACUGUGACUCCCCUUGCACCAACCUCCUACCGACAAGCUGCUUUAUUACCUGACUGGUGUGUUGCUAUGAGAGAGGAAUAUGAUGCUUUAUUGGCUAAUGAGACAUGGAAGCUAUGUCCUAGACCUGUUGAUCAUAAUGUGGUGGGAAAUAAGUGGGUGUAUAAAGUUAAACAAACAUCCACAGGUGAGGUUGACAGAUUCAAAGCAAGAUUAGUGGCUUUGGGAUUUGCUCAAGAAGAAGGUAUUGACUUUACUGAGACUUUUAGUCCAGUAAUUAAGCCUUCUACUGUACGGGUGCUUCUUACACUUUCUGUUCAAUUUGAUUGGGAAAUCAGACAGCUUGAUGUAUCUAACGCUUUUCUUCAUGGGAUCUUGCUAGAGGAUGUAUAUAUGGAGCAACCUAAGGGGUUUGUUAAUUCAGAUUUUCCAGAUUAUGUUUGCAAACUGAACAAGUCACUUUAUGGCCUCAAACAAGCACCUCGUGCUUGGUUUAUGCGUCUAUCUCAAACUCUACUUGAAUUCGGUUUCCUAUCCUCACCAGUGGAUGCCUCCUUAUUUGUCUAUCAUAAGGGCCAUAUUCAUCUAUUUAUCCUCAUCUAUGUAGAUGAUAUCCUUGUUACAGGUACAGAUCCUUCUCUCAUUCAGUCUCUAAUCCAAAAGCUACAAACCGAGUUCAAGAUGAAAGACCUUGGUCCUUUGGGCUAUUUUCUCGGCAUCCAAGCAAGUCGUGACUCUUCUGGCCUACAUCUUCGACAAUCCAAGUACAUUGGGGAUCUUCUUCAUCGUACCAAGAUGGCUGGGGCCAAACCUGCUUCCUCUCCUUGUACCACAGGUCUUAAAUUAUCCACUCAUGUUGGUGAGCCACUCACAGCUUCUCAAAUUACAGAAUAUCGACAAACUGUGGGAGCUCUUCAAUAUUGCACCUUGACUAGACCUGAUAUAGCAUUUUCUGUCAACCAACUAUGUCAACAUAUGCACUGUCCUAAUUCUGUUCAUUGGACAGCAGCAAAACGUGUCUUACGUUACUUAAAAGGCACCAUUGAUCUGGGAUUAUGGUACACUAAGGGCGAGCAAACUCUUCAAGCCUUUUGUGAUUCAGAUUGGGCUGGUAAUCCCGAUGAUCGAAGAUCAACUACUGGGUAUGGCGUUUUCUUUGGCUCUUGCUUAAUCUCAUGGACUGCCAAGAAACAAUCUGUGGUAGCUCGUUCUAGCACUGAAGCCGAAUAUAGGGCAUUAGCUAUUACUACUGCUGAGCUGUAUUGGAUUCGUAUGCUCCUCAAAGAACUUCAUAUUUCUUUGCCCACAGCUCCUACUAUUUGGUGUGAUAACAGUGGCGCUCUUGCUCUUGCUUCUAAUCCUGUGUUUCAUGCCCGCACCAAACAUAUUGAAGUUGAUUUUCACUUCAUCCGCGAGAAAGUUGCUAAUCGAGAUAUUUCCCUUCAGUUCAUCGGUUCUUAUGAUCAGCCUGCUGAUAUCUUUACAAAGGGACUAAGUUUAGCUCGGUUUUGUUUGCUUCGUGACAAGCUAAUGGUGGUUUCUCUCCCCAUUAGCUUGAGGGGGGAUGAUAACCACAACAUUCAAACCACCGAGAUUUCCUUGGCUUCUCACUUAUCUUAUCCACCAGAUAAGUGUUUAUCCACUUUAAGAGAUAACUCUUGACUAUUUUUAAAUUUCUGUUAUUGUGUAUUUCAAAUCUCCUUCUGUAAUUGUAUAUAAAUGAGAAUAGCCACCCGGUUUUUGGCAUUGAAGCCAAUACCAUUUUACAGAUUUCUACAGAGUCUUACAAUCUAGUCCGCCUACAGAAAAGGACUCCAAGCCUGGGAGUGCAACCUGUGCAAUUGAUGAUCCCUUUAGUUAAUAAUAUAUACAUAUACAUUCCUAAUAAUUAGACACAUGUAAAUAGAAAAUAAGAGGUUAAAGGAGAAUAUAUCAGUAUAACAAAGCACAAAAUUUAAACUAGAUUCAAGAAGAUCAAGAAAGAGAAAAUAAAAGAAAAAGCCUCCAGAUUUUGAAGAUACAAUGAAACUUAAAAAAAAAAAAAAAAAACCUCCAGAUUUUCCUUUCGAAAUGAGGUAAUAAGAGGAUUUUCUUUUUCUUUUUUCUUUGCCUCUUUUUCAAAUUUGAUUAACUUCUAUGGAAAACGUAUUUUAACUAGUUAUGGAAAACGGAUUUUUUUAAAAAAACUUUUAUAUAAGAUACAAGUAAUACUUUAAAAAAGUUGUGAUAUCUAAAAAAUUUUUGUAAAAAUUAUUUUUAAAGAAAUAAGGUAAAUCUAUACUUUUUGUAUAAGAUGUUCUACCUUUAUAUACAAAUUUUUGAUUUUUUUUUUUUAAGUGUAUCCAAAUGGACACUAAACUAUCUAGUUUUUAAUUGUUACAACUUUGAAUUGGAUUUUAUGGUAAACUAAUUUACAAGUUAAUGCAUGGAUUCAUCUUAGAUUCCAUCUAUAAAUUUUUUUAAUUAUCUAAUAUAAGACAUUAUAUUAAUGGGUUGAAUUAAUAAUGAAAUUAUAAUUUAUUUGGCAACUUUCUUCCUUCAAAUAUAUAAAAUGAAAAUAAAUUUUAAAAAAUAAAAAAAAUGAAAAAAAUAAAAAAUAAAAAAAGAUUUUUUUUAUAGUUUUUCUAAGAUGAUUUUGUAGAGUACUGUUAGUUUAUAGUUUUAACUUUAUUUCAUUUUACUUUUAACUUUAUUUAUUGAGGUAUGUUCUUUUUUGAAACUCUUGUUUAGAUUUUAUAGAGAAUAUAAAUUUUAAGAAAAAAAAUGAAAUUUAAAUAAAAUAAGAAUAAAGAAAGGCAAAAGGUGGAUGAAUUUUUUUAAGGCAAAAGUUUGAUAAUUUGGCACUAUCAUGUAAUGGGUGAAAUUUUUAAAUACUCAACAAAGGCUAGUGAAAUUUAAAUUAAAAGCUUGACAUGUACCUUUUCGACCAAAAUCUUUGGAGUUGGUGUAAAGUUUUGAGUAUGAGAGAGGUUAGUCUAGGGAAUAUUAUUGCACAUUAGUUCAAAUAAAACAUCAACAUCUUUUUUUGUUAAAUUCUAAAUGAACACCACUAUAAAUUAAUGCGAUUUUGUAUGCUCAAUUAAAUAAACUCGUUCUUAAGGCAUCACAUGAAGUGUUUAAGUCUAAUUAAUAUUAAUUAAAAAUGAUUAUAUUAAAAAAAAUCAAAAGUAAUUUUUUUUUAUCAUAAGUCAAGUAGGAUAGUUUUAUAAAUAAUUGGUUCUAGUUUCUAGUAUUAUUGUAGACAAUCGCUAUGUUUGUUGCACCUCCAAAAAAUCUACUACUUGUAAUUAAUUGUAUAUUAUUCUCCAUAUUCACAUCAGUUUAUGUAGUAUGAUUAAUUUAGCAACAAAAUAUAAGUUUACUUGAAAUCGCUUUAAAUUCCUAUGAUAUUAAAGUUUAAGAUUAAAACAAUGUAACAUUAGCCAAAAAGAUUAAGAUCUAUAAUGUAACAUAUAAAAUUUAGAAAAUUCAAGGAAGGGUAAACUCGCACCUGUUCUACCCAGAAGAGUGGCUCAAGUUCACAUUCAGAAUUUAUUUCUUGAAAGAGUAUCUCCACUUUAUCACAAUCGAGCACUUUCAAUUCUUUCAGAAGUGGCCAGCUUGAACUAAACCUUUUUGAGCAAAAUCUUUUGAGUUGGUGUAAACCGGAGAGUGUGAGAGAGGUAAGGUUAGGGAAUAAGAGUAAAGGUGCUGCUUCAUCUUCAUUUUCAUUGGCAACAAUUGCCUCCACUCCACUCUUCGAUAUAUAUAGGUCCUCAAGUUGCACAAGGGCACUCGCCACAGAAACCAGAAAAAGGUUUAGCAAUUUGUUGCAUCCCCUUACUUGCAAUUUCCUUAAUUUGGAAAAUGAAUUUGCUGGAAGUUGGUCAGACCACAAUGCUCUUAUAUUAUCU
rnacentral:lncRNA from 1 species